rnacentral:rRNA from 1 species
UACGUAGGGGGCAAGCGUUGUCCGGAUUUACUGGGUGUAAAGGGCGUGCAGCCGGGCUGACAAGUCAGAUGUGAAAUCCCGCGGCUCAACCGCGGAACUGCAUUUGAAACUGUCAGUCUUGAGUACCGGAGAGGUCAUCGGAAUUCCUUGUGUAGCGGUGAAAUGCGUAGAUAUAAGGAAGAACACCAGUGGCGAAGGCGGAUGACUGGACGGCAACUGACGGUGAGGCGCGAAAGCGUGGGGAGCAAACAGG